GACGAACGCUGGCGGCGUGCUUAACACAUGCAAGUCGAACGGAAAGGCCCGGCUUUUGUGGGGUGCUCGAUUGGCGAACGGGUGAGUAACACGUGAGUAACCUGCCCUUGACUGUGGGAUAACUUCAGGAAACUGGGGCUAAUACCGGAUAGGAGCUCCUGCUGCAUGGUGGGGGUUGGAAAGUUUCGGCGGUUGGGGAUGGACUCGCGGCUUAUCAGCUUGUUGGGGGGGUAGUGGCUUACCAAGGCUUUGAAGGGUAGCCGGCAUGAGAGGGUGACCGGCCACCUUGGGACUGCGAUACGGCCCAGAAUGCUACGGGACGCAGCAGUGGGGAGUAUUGCGCAAUAGGCCGAAGCCUGAUGCAGAAACGCCGCGUGCGGAAUGACGGCCUUCGGGUUGUAAACCGCUUUCGACUGUGCCGAAGCGUGCGUGACGGUAAUGGGUAAAGAAGCAACGGCUAACUACGUG
rnacentral:rRNA from 1 species